GAUGAACGCUGGCGGCGUGCCUAAUACAUGCAAGUCGAGCGAACGGACGAGAAGCUUGCUUCUCUGAUGUUAGCGGCGGACGGGUAAGUAACACGUGGAUAACCUACCUAUAAGACUGGGAUAAAUUCGGGAAACCGGAGCUAAUACCGGAUAAUAUUUUGAACCGGAUGGUUCAAAAGUGAAAGACGGUCUUGCUGUCACUUAUAGAUGGAUCCGCGCUGCAUUAGCUAGUUGGUAAGGUAACGGCUUACCAAGGCAACGAUGCAUAGCCGACCUGAGAGGAUGAUCAGCCACACUGGAACUGAGACACGGUCCAGACUCCUACGGGAGGCAGCAGUGGGGAAUCUUCCGCAAUGGGCGAAAGCCUGACGGAGCAACGCCGCGUGAGUGAUGAAGGUCUUCGGAUCGUAAAACUCUGUUAUUAGGGAAGAACAUAUGUAUAAGUAACUGUGCACAUCUUGACGGUACCUAAUCAGAAAGCCACGGCUAACUACGUG
rnacentral:rRNA from 1 species